rnacentral:lncRNA from 1 species
CCUGUUGAUAAAUAUUCCUGACCCAGCCUUGGGGUCCUUUACCAGCUCUCCUGCUCCUUCCACCUCAGGGCCCUCUUAGGGUUGCCUCUUACAUUCUUUCCAGGGCUUAGCAGACAGGAACAGGGAGGGUCGGGUUUAGGCCAUCUUACCCAGACCGGAAGUCUCUAAGUGUUUGAUUGAGUGUUUGUUUGAAGAAAGUGAUGAACCCAGGACCUCGAGCCAGGAAGAUUUUUCCCGGUGAAAAGCAGAGGGAUUGACUCACGCUCGGUUCUGAGUUCCAGGCCUGACUCCAGGGCUCACCAGCUUCUUCCACAACCCGCACAACUUGAACGCUUGGUAGCAUCUCCACGCAGCAGUGGGCACCCUGGCUUCUGGAGGAGCCCAGGCUGCAUUUACCCCUCCAUGGUGCAUCUCAUAGGAUCAACUGGACCCGCGAAAGGCACUGGCUGCGGAAAAGCAGCCAACUGCUCCCCAGCGAAGGGGAUGGCCGGAAGCGAGGAGAGGGAGAAGCCCCAGCAGAGACCCCAGGAGGAAAAGACCCCACAACGGGGCCACUGGGAACCCAUGAUGUUGGUUACCAAUGUGAUUGGAGGUUCGGAACGACGGACGUGUGGCCCUGAAGUGGGAAACAGAAAAGCUGAAGGGCGAGACCUGGGAGGGAGCCCCCCACCCCCGCGGACUCCAGAGACCCAACCUUCCUUCCCUGCGCUCCGGCCGGACGUUCUCCCUGCCCCUGUGGCCGAGCCUGAAUGCAGGCGUACAUGGAAACCGCACAUCAGGAGCGGAUGGCGAAAGACUGCUUGAAAAUUGGCUGCAGACCAAACCACCUAAAUCCAGAAACAAACCGAAACUUGCUUUAGGUCCUAAUAACAGUCCAAGCCAGCAUUUCCUCUUGCCUGAAGCACAACCUAGACUCCUAACCGGACUCUGGUCCGUCCGGUCACUCCACAUCUCACUGAGAACCAAGAUUGCAAAAUGCAGAUUAGAUCGCCUAGCCCUGCUUCCCUCUCAGAACUUUCUCUGACUUCCUACUCCUCUUAAUAUAAAAAUCCAAUUCCUUAAUGUGUCUACAAGGCCUGGUUCCUCCACUAUGUCUCCAGACUCUCUGGGCUCUGACCUCCAGGGCCCUCUUCCCAUUCCUUGUGUGGACCACACUCCUUGCAGCCACAGGACCUUUGCACAGGCCAUUCUCCG